UGCGGAUGACUGAAGGUAUCGACGACUUGACGCACCUCUUCUCCGGCCUUCAGCCCUACGGACCCCAAAGCGCAAUGGAGCAGCUGAUCAAAAAAUGGUGGUGGAGACCCAGAGAGCGCAACAGGAAACAUAUGCGGCCUUACUGCAGCAGAAAAUAAAGGUGAACCAGCUAAGGGAACAGGAGCUUCGGCAAGGAGCGAGGGCGAGACCUCGGGUGGGGGACUAUAUUCCGAAGCUGGGAGCCACUGACAAUGUGGAAGCGUACCUGCACGUCUUUGAGGCAACGGUGGUCCGAGAAGGGUGGCCCAAGGCACAAUGGAAUGGGAUUCUUGGCUCCCUUCCUGACAGGUGAGGCACUGCAGGCUUUCCAGGACGUGGAGGCUGAGGUUGACCAAGAUUAUGACCUGCUAAAGGAAGAGAUCCAGAGCCGUCACGGCCUGACUAAGUUUAGUAUGGCUCAACGUUUCCACAGUUGGUCCUCCCAGAUGCAUGAGUUGAUUCGGAUCACCAAAAAUUGGCUAGAGCCCGAAAAUAAAAGCCCGGCCGCCAUCGUCGAGACCCUGGUUAUGGAUCGCUAUUUAAGGGCCCUACCUUAUGAAGCCAAAAAAACACUAAGUCAGCAGAAAUUGACCUCCGCGACAGCGUUGGUGGAAGCCCUAGAACAGUACCAGGCGGCUUCGGAGAUGCUCCGCUCCACCCGCAAGGAGACUGUCGCCCCGGCUAGGCCCAAGGGGCCUUCCGCAAAGGCUUCCCCAGCGGUCAGCCCUCUGCUCCGCUCCUACCUUCGGGGCACUAGACGGCCCACCCAGCCCCAGGGUUUGCCGAAAUCCGAGGCGCACCAGUGCUUCCACUGUGGUGAGUGGGGUCACAUAUCAUGGCAGUGCGAGAAGUCAGAUGAGAAGAUGCCCACCGCAGAGUCCGCUAGCAGCCCCCAUGUGCAUUUUGCUGCCUUCCUGGGGGAAGGGGAGGACCAAUGGCCCACCUGCCCCGUGAUUGUGAAUCACUGGGAUGUGGAAGUGCUGCUGGACUCCGGCAGUUCCCAUACCUUGGUGCAAGAGGCGGUGUUGGAGGAGCCGCCCCUGGGUCAAAACCAUUCCAUCCCGGUGGUCUGUGUCCAUGGGGAGACCAGAGAGUAUCCCACAGCGGUGGUAAAGUUAACCACCACCAAGGGGGCCUUUGCCGUGGAGGUGGGGGUUGUCAAAACCCUCCCAGUCCCAGUCCUGAUCGGUCGGGACUGUCUAGCCUUUCCUAUGCUUUGGAGAGAAGCCCAACGGAGACGCUGCCGAGGACCCCAACGAGGGGUUCCCAAGGUGGGUAGAAAGGGAGAAUUCUGGGCUAAGAUUGAUCAACCCUGUUCUGCCAAAACUGUUGUAGCCCAAGGUUUUGCAGUGGACUCCAGCGGAUUGGACUUGGGGCAGGAAGGGCCAGAAGGUUGCAAACCCUUGACCAGCCUCAGUGGAGAGGACGUGGACGGCCCAAGGACCCUGCAGCCCCUAAAAGGUCAGUACGGCACGGCACAGCUCAGCUUCAGGACCCCACCCUUAGCAAUGCCUUGAUGAAUGUCCAGGUGAUAGAGGGGAUGAUGGUAGGAAGUAGAGUAGCCCCCGCCUACCCCCAUUUUUCUAUAAAAAAAACGGCCUCCUGUAUCAAGUCAUUAAGAGCCAGGAUAACGUCACUGAGCAACUCCUUGUGCCCCAGACUCAUCGGACUACGGUUCUGCAGUUAACCCCCACGCACCUAAUGGGAGCUCAACUGGGGGUGGAAAAAACGCCCGGAGUGUUAGAUCACUGCCCCCAAACCGUCUUACAGACAUCCUGUGGUCCCUUUACCCAUUAUAGAAACUCCCUAUCUAGCUAAGGAGGCCUGGGAGGAGCAACCCUGCCCCCACCGCACGAUGGUUGAGCAUGUAGGGGACACGCGAGACCGGAUAGCAGCAGUGGUCCCCAUUGUGAGGGAACACCUGGAAAAGGCCCAGCGAGACCAGAGGGGGGUGUAUAAAAGGACUGCCCAUCCCAGGGAGUUCCAACCAGGAGACAGAGUCCUGGUGUUGGUCCCCACGGUGGAAUGCAAGUUUUUGGCUACUUGGCAGGGGCCUUUUGAGGUACUAGAGAAGUUGUCUGUUCCCCAGGGAUCCGCCCGACCUGGCCAGGAACGAAGUGCAGCUGGGACCAGAUCUCUCCCAUCACCAAUUGCAGCAGGUCAAGGAGUUGGUGGAAACAGGAUGUGUUCUCCUCCCUCCCGGGGUGCACCCACCUGAUAGAACAUGAAGUGCGCCCAGCUGUGAGUCCCUGGAUCUGACGAAGGGGUAUUGGCAGGUCCUCAUGUUGGCUGAGUCUAAAGAGAAGAUGGCCUAUGCCACUCCCGGGGGCCUUUGGCAAUACAGAAUGAUGCCCUUUGGGUUAUCGGGGGCUCCUGCCACCUUUCAGCUGUUAAUGGACCAGGUGUUGAAACUGCAUAGGGACUUUGCAGCGGCAUAUCUGGAUGAUGUGGUCAUUCAGAGCCCAGACUGGGAAAACCACCUGCCGCAAGUGCAGAAGGUGCUGGACUCACUUUGGCACGCGGGUUUGACGGCCAACCCCAAGAAGUGUAAGCUGGCCUUUAGUGAGACCGAUUACUUGGGGUACACCAUUGGAAGAGGACUCGUCAAGCCUCAGGAGGCCAAACUUGCCGGCGAAUGGUAUAUAGUAUCAGUACAUAUAUGUGUGUGUGUGUGUGUGUGUGUGUGUGUAUAUAUAUGUAUGUAUGUAAUGUGUGUGACAAUAUAAAAAUAUUGAACAACAACGAUUAACAAUUAACAACAAAUAUGUGCAAUGUACCAGGUUUGUGUUUGAUAUGAAGUGAAAUAAUGCUCGGGCCUGGGUAGCAGAGGGACGGCUAAUGUUUGUUAGCUGUUUUUGUAUUUGGUUCUAUGUUGACUGGAUCCGUUCAUCGUGUAAGGGGGCGGAGUGGGUAAAGAAACUGUUACCUUUAUGUGCUGUAUUAUUACAGGUCUAUGUUUCACUGUGCUGUUUGAUGCUUUAUUAGGUGAAAGUAGCUUGUUAGAGGGGUUCUCAUCUGACUGUCCAUGACCGGCCUUCGUCUCUGGACUUUCUACUCCCUUCCUCCGUCAGACAGCUGCGUAAUAAUAACAUUAGAGUAUAAAGUCACCUGUUUCUUCACUGGCUCU